GACGAACGCUGGCGGCGUGCUUAACACAUGCAAGUCGAACGGAAAGGCCCCUUUGGGGGUACUCGAGUGGCGAACGGGUGAGUAACACGUGAGUAACCUGCCCUUGACUUCGGGAUAACUUCAGGAAACUGGGGCUAAUACCGGAUAGGAAUCCUUGCUGCAUGGUGGGGGUUGGAAAGCUUCGGCGGUUUUGGAUGGACUCGCGGCUUAUCAGCUUGUUGGUGGGGUAGUGGCUUACCAAGGCUUUGACGGGUAGCCGGCCUGAGAGGGCGACCGGCCACAUUGGGACUGAGAGACGGCCCAGACGCCUACGGGAGGCAGCAGUGGGGAAUAUUGCACAAUGGGCGGAAGCCGGAUGCAGCAACGCCGCGUGCGGGAUGACGGCCUUCGGGUUGGAAACCGCUUUCAGCAGGGGCGAAGCUUGUGGUGACGGUACCUGCAGAAGAAGCACCGGCUAACUACGUG
rnacentral:rRNA from 1 species